rnacentral:misc_RNA from 1 species
AUCGCCCCUUGAAAUUGCCUGCGCGACGCUCGGCAGUGGCCUUGAUACCUUCCUGGAAGUCUUCGGUUUCGCGCAGCCAGGUCUGUUCGGCGAGUUCGUGGUCGGUUUGUGCCUUGACGCGGUCCGCAAGUCCCGCGCGCANCGUCGACAUCAAUCCUAGCGGGGAGUUCUCGGCGAUCUCAUUUGCCAGCUUGAAUGCUUCG